rnacentral:rRNA from 1 species
GGGCUAAGCGAUAAACCGAAGCUGCGGGUGUGCACUUUAGUGCACGCGGUAGGAGAGCGUUCUGUAAGCCUGCGAAGGUGGCUUGUAAAGGCUGCUGGAGGUAUCAGAAGUGCGAAUGCUGACAUGAGUAGCGAUAAAGGGGGUGAAAAGCCCCCUCGCCGUAAGUCCAAGGUUUCCUGCGCAACGUUCAUCGGCGCAGGGUGAGUCGGCCCCUAAGGCGAGGCAGAGAUGCGUAGCUGAUGGGAAGCUGGUUAAUAUUCCAGCACCGUCGUACAGUGCGAUGGGGGGACGGAUCGCGGAAGAUCAUCAGGGUGUUGGAUGUCCCUGUUGACAUAUCGAAGAUGGCGCUUAGGCAAAUCCGGGCGCGUAAAUCAAGGGUAUGGCACGAGCGAGCAUUGCUUGCGAAGUGAUUGGAAGUGGUUCCAAGAAAAGCCUCUAAGCUUCAGCUGUACGAGACCGUACCGCAAACCGACACAGGUGGACGGGAUGAAUAUUCCAAGGCGCUUGAGAGAACUCAGGAGAAGGAACUCGGCAAAUUGAUACCGUAACUUCGGGAGAAGGUAUACCCCGGUAGUGUGAAGCGCCUGCGCGCUUAGCAUGAUGGGGUCGCAGAGAAUCGGUGGCUGCGACUGUUUAUUAAAAACACAGCACUCUGCAAAGACGAAAGUCGACGUAUAGGGUGUGACGCCUGCCCGGUGCCGGAAGGUUAAGUGAUGGGGUGCAA